GCGUAACGCGUGGGAAUCUACCCUUGCUACGGAAUAACUCAGAGAAAUUUGUGCUAAUACCGUAUGAUGUCGAAAGACCAAAGAUUUAUCGGCAAAGGACGAGCCCGCGUAGGAUUAGCUAGUUGGUGUGGUAAAGGCGCACCAAGGCGACGAUCCUUAGCUGGUCUGAGAGGAUGAUCAGCACACUGGGACUGAGACACGGCCAGACUCCUACGGGAGGCAGCAGUGGGGAAUAUUGGACAAUGGGCGAAAGCCUGAUCCAGCAAUGCCGCGUGAGUGAUGAAGGCCUUAGGGUUGUAAAGCUCUUUUACCAGGGAUGAUAAUGACAGUACCUGGAGAAUAAGCUCCGGCUAACUCCGUGCCAGCAGCCGCGGUAAUACGGAGGGAGCUAGCGCUGUUCGGAAUUACUGGGCGUAAAGCGUACGUAGGCGGUUAUUCAAGUCAGGGGUGAAAGGCCUGGAGCUCAAAUUCCAGAAUGCCUUGAAAUAGAUAAUAGAAUCUUGGAGAGGUGAGUUGGAAUUCCCGAGUUGGUAACAAAGGGUGACCAUUUCCGGCNCAGAUUCAUUCCCGGGGAAGAACAACCAAGAUGGGGAAAGGGCG
rnacentral:rRNA from 1 species